UACGUAGGGGGCAAGCGUUGUCCGGAAUCAUUGGGCGUAAAGAGCGUGUAGGCGGCCUGGUAAGUCCGCUGUGAAAGUCCAGGGCUCAACCCUGGAAUGCCGGUGGAAACUGUCAGGCUCGAGUCCGGAAGAGGCGAGUGGAAUUCCUGGUGUAGCGGUGAAAUGCGCAGAUAUCAGGAGGAACACCGGUGGCGAAGGCGGGUCUCUGGGCCGGAACUGACGCUGAGGAGCGAAAGCGUGGGGAGCGAACAGG
rnacentral:rRNA from 1 species